AGCAGCCGCGAUAAUUCCAGCUCCAAUAGCGUAUAUUAAAGUUGUUGCAGUUAAAAAGCUCGUAGUUGAACUUCGGGGUUUACCCAUUGGUCAGGCUUAAUUGUCUGCACUGGUGAGAUGAAUCUCUACCUUCUGAGGAACUUUCAUGCCAUUUAUUUGGUGUGAUGGGAAAUCAGGACUGUUACUUUGAAAAAAUUAGAGUGUUUAAAGCAGGCUAACGUCUGAAUACAUUAGCAUGGAAUAAUGAAAUAGGACGGACUGAUUCUAUUUCGUUGGUUUCUAGGAUCACCGUAAUGAUUAAUAGGGAUAGUUGGGGGCAUUAGUAUUCAAUUGUCAGAGGUGAAAUUCUUGGAUUUAUUGAAGACUAACUACUGCGAAAGCAUUUGCCAAGGAUGUUUUCAUUAAUCAAGAACGAAAGUUAGGGGAUCGAAGACGAUCAGAUACCGUCGUAGUCUUAACCAUAAACUAUGCCGACUAGGGAUCGGACGAAGUUAAUUUUAUAAUGACGCGUUCGGCACCUUACG
rnacentral:rRNA from 1 species